rnacentral:rRNA from 1 species
CGUGCCUAAUACAUGCAAGUCGAACGCAUUGUGGUUGAAAUGAUAUGAAGAACUUGUUCAGAUUUGAUUUCAACAUUGCAAUGAGUGGCGAACGGGUGAGUAACACGUGGGAAACCUACCUCUUAGCAGGGGAUAACAUUUGGAAACAAAUGCUAAUACCGUAUAAUAAUUAAAACCGCAUGGUUUUAGUUUAAAAGAUGGUCUUGCUAUCACUAAGAGAUGGUCCCGCGGUGUAUUAGUUAGUUGGUGAGGUAAUGGCUCACCAAGACAAUGAUACAUAGCCGAGUUGAGAGACUGACCGGCCACAAUGGGACUGAGACACGGCCCAUACUCCUACGGGAGGCAGCAGUAGGGGAUCUUCCACAAUGGACGAAAGUCUGAUGGAGCAACGCCGCGUGUGUGAUGAAGGGUUUCGGCUCGUAAAACACUGUUGUAAGAGAAGAAUGACAUUGAGAGUAACUGUUCAAUGUGUGACGGUAUCUUACCAGAAAGGAACGGCUAAAUACGUG